rnacentral:rRNA from 1 species
UACGUAGGGUGCGAGCGUUAAUCGGAAUUACUGGGCGUAAAGCGUGCGCAGGCGGUUUUGUAAGCCAGAUGUGAAAUCCCCGGGCUUAACCUGGGAAUGGCAUUUGGGACUGCACGGCUAGAGUGUGUCAGAGGGGGGUAGAAUUCCACGUGUAGCAGUGAAAUGCGUAGAGAUGUGGAGGAAUACCGAUGGCGAAGGCAGCCCCCUGGGAUAACACUGACGCUCAUGCACGAAAGCGUGGGGAGCAAACAGG